CCGCCCCCUCCCCUGGUGCGCCAUCUUUAGUGCUGGCAGCGAGGCUUCUUGGCCCCACACGUUCAACGUUGCUGCUGGAGAGAUUGGGGUUUAUUUUUAACCGACUUACAUGAACGUGACCCCAUUUCCGAGACCUGGCGCCUUUCUCAUCCUAACAACAAACUGGGUGACUUCAACAAGAGAUAUUGAUGCUCUCACGGUUCUGGAGGCCAGAAGGCCAAAUCCAAGUGUCAGCAAAGCCAUGUUCUCUCGAAGACUCUAGGGGAGGAUCUGUUCCAUAUCUUUCUCCCAGCUUCGGAUGGCUCCUGGCAACCCUUGGCAUUCCUUGGCUUGCAGGUGCAUCACUCCAUUCUCUGCCUCCAUCAUCACGUAGCCUUCUCCCGCUGUCUGCAUCUUCACAUGGCAUUCUCCUUAUAAGGACAUCAGUCAUAUUGGAUUAGUGCCCACCCUAAUGACCUCAUCUCAACUUAACUACAUUUGCAAAUAUCCCGUUUCCAAAUAUCACAUUCACCGGUGCCAACGGUUAGGAUUUCAGCACGUUCUGUAGGAGACACACUUCAACCCACAAUUC